UAGACAUGCUGUUAACAAAGAAUAGUACUGCUAUUUCCAUCUGUAUGUUUUCCCAGUACUAGCCUAUCUCUCAUCGUAAUUUAUAACAGCACAUAGCUAUAAGGACUGUGUUAUAAACUUUGGGAAACAUGUUUUAUUUAAAAAAGGUGUUAUAAUUUUUGGUUUUACAUAUUCAUCAAUUGUAAAAAUGCAUUGGUAUUUAAAUUGAUUUAGUUUUUAAAAUUCCCUCAAAUUAUUCAAAAUGGCGGCUCUUGAGACCGGAAAUGCCCAGUUUUGAUGAUCGGUUAAUAAACUAACAGGUUGUAAGGAAAGAAAAUAUUACUUAAAUUUGUUUCAAUUAAAUGCAGAAUUCUUUAGAUAAUAUUAAGUAAAUAAUAUUGUUUUUUAACCAAAAUAAAUUUUAAAGAUUUAUCCCGGUAUUAAUCGUGGCUGUAUCGUGAUUGGCCAAAAUUUCAAACUUUGACUUUCGUGAAUUUUGAUUGGACAAUUGCCAUUCCGCCAUCAAAUUUUGAAAUGGGCAAAGAAGACAGGAGUUGUUGUGAAGAUUUUCCUGAUUUUUUCAAGAAAUAUGCAGAAUCACAGCGUGUUGUAUGUAGUAAUGAAACUGCAAGCAGUGGUUUCAUAAAGAUAGACAUGCUUAAGACCUGGAUGAUAUGGCUUUAGUUGUGGAUGACCAUUUCCAUUCAGGAAAAAAUCCCAACCAAGUCCAGCUAGCAGACUGUACACCAGAUUGAAGAUACAUCAUUAAUACAAGAUGAAAAAAAUUAAUGGAGGACGAGGAUAAUACUAUGAAAGAGAUCAGAUGCAAGAGCAACCGUUCCCAUAGAAAUACAUGCAGCCAUGUAAACAGAAACCAGUUUUCACCUGCCAGGUGCUGGUCACAUAUAUAUUCAACUUGGAAGUUCAACAGAUUCAAGAAACAGAUCCAGUUGUUUGCUGAUAAAUUACUGCAGGUCAUUGGUAUCAUCUAGAACCAGGACUGUUUUAAAAAUCAUACUAGUAUGUUUGGAACAAAAUCAUGCUAGUAUAUGUUAGGAAUUUAACCUAAAACAUGCUUUAAUUAUGAAGGUUUUGGUCAAAUUUUGGUUUACAAAAUAAUGUUUUUUCAAACU